UGAACAGAAUGACCAAAUUACC
rnacentral:siRNA from 1 species